rnacentral:rRNA from 1 species
GGAAUAUUGGGCAAUGCCCGCAAGGGUGACCCAGCAACGCCGCGUGGAGGAUGAAUGUCGUAAGAUUGUAAACUCCUGUUAGAGGGGAAGAAUAGUACCGGUUGGACCGGUAUAUGACUGUACCCUCAGAGAAAGCCCCGGCUAACUACGUGCCAGCAGCCGCGGUAAUACGUAGGGGGCAAGCGUUGUCCGGACUUACUGGGUGUAAAGGGCGCGCAGGCGGGAUAAAAAGUCAGUGGUGAAAUCCUACAGCUUAACUGUAGAACUGCCUUUGAUACUUUUAUUCUUGAGUUCGGGAGAGAGAGACGGAAUUCCAGGUGUAGUGGUGAAAUACGUAGAUAUCUGGAGGAACACCAGUUGCGAAGGCGGUCUCUUGGUCCGACGCUGACGCUGAGGCGCGAAAGCGUGGGGAGCAAACA